GUGUAGUCAUGUAAACUCCAUGCUCAAUCCCAUCCAAAGACUUAGCCCCCAAUCAGAGAAUUCAUCCUGAACCCUCGGCCUAUAUGUCACAACUUUACCUCUAUUGUACUCCCCAAGCCAUCCACUUUACCCCUUUCGCAUGUCUCACCCAACCUACCCAUCUACCUUCAUAAUCCUCGCAUUGCUAUCCCUGAGCUAUCAUACUUCCUUCAUCAACAUCAACAUGUAGGAUUCAUAUGUAGUGUCUAUCAACCACCAUACGCUACCUAAAAAAACACCCCAAAUAGAAUAUAAAUAUAUAGUCUAACCCACAAGGAG
rnacentral:lncRNA from 1 species